rnacentral:snRNA from 1 species
GGGCUCGCUUUAGCAGCACAUAUGCUAAAUUUGGAACAAUACAGAGAAGAUUAUCAUGGCCCCUGUGCAAGGAUGACACGCAAAUUCAUGAAAUGUUGCUAUUUUUU